AGUGAACGCUGGCGGUAGGCCUAACACAUGCAAGUCGAACGGCAGCACAGUAAGAGCUUGCUCUUACGGGUGGCGAGUGGCGGACGGGUGAGGAAUACAUCGGAAUCUACUUUUUCGUGGGGGAUAACGUAGGGAAACUUACGCUAAUCCCGCAUACGACCUACGGGUGAAAGCAGGGGAUCUUCGGACCUUGCGCGGUUGAAUGAGCCGAUGUCGGAUUAGCUAGUUGGCGGGGUAAAGGCCCACCAAGGCGACGAUCCGUAACUGGUCUGAGGGGAUGAUCAGCCACACUGGAACUGAGACUCGCUCCAGACACCGACGGGAGGCAGCGGUGGGGAAUAUUGGGCAAUGGGCGCAAGCCUAAUCCAGCCAUACCGCGUGGGUGCAGAAGGCCUUCGGGUUGUAAAGCCCUUUUGUUGGGAAAGAAAAGCAGCAGGUUAAUACCCCGCUGUUCUGACGGUACCCAAAGAAUAAGCACCGGCUAACUUCGUG
rnacentral:rRNA from 1 species